AGUGAACGCUGGCGGUAGGCCUAACACAUGCAAGUCGAACGGCAGCACAGUAAGAGCUUGCUCUUACGGGUGGCGAGUGGCGGACGGGUGAGGAAUACAUCGGAAUCUACUUUUUCGUGGGGGAUAACGUAGGGAAACUUACGCUAAUACCGCAUACGACCUACGGGUGAAAGCAGGGGAUCUUCGGACCUUGCGCGAUUGAAUGAGCCGAUGUCGGAUUAGCUAGUUGGCGGGGUAAAGGCCCACCAAGGCGACGAUCCGUAGCUGGUCUGAGAGGAUGAGCAGCCACACUGGAACUGAGACACGGUCCAGACUCCUACGGGAGGCAGCAGUGGGGAAUAUUGGACAAUGGGCGCAAGCCUGAUCCAGCCACACCGCGUGGGUGAAGAAGGCCUUCGGGUUGUAAAGCCCUUUUGUUGGGAAAGAAAAGCAGCAGGUUAAUACCCCGCUGUUCUGACGGUACCCAAAGAAUAAGCACCGGCUAACUUCGUG
rnacentral:rRNA from 1 species